GCGCCGGCAGCAGCACCCUGGUCACGUGGCCGGCCCGUCGCCAUGGCAACCCGCUAACUCAUCACCUCGCCUCAAUUCGCACAGGGCCGCAGCGUGACCACGCCAGCAGCUCCAGGCAGGCACCGGGGCAGGCCUACAUCUGGCAUGUAAAACCCCAGGCCACCCUGCAGCCCCCCUAGCAGACUUGCCUUGUCUGAAAACCAGCUCUUCCUCUAAUCAUUUCCUUUCCGACCCGUGCUCCAACUGCAGCUGUGUACACAAAAGAACGAUUCAUGCAAAGGGGUGUGGGAGACCCUUUAACUCCUUCAAUACCAAAAUUUUAUGCCAUGACAAUUAAACCUGGUCAGGUUCCAGAAAAACCUAAAAAGGACCUGGUGGCCAGCUUGUAGAAAAGAAUGCAAGCUGAGUGGCAACUCCUGAAUAUAAAUACAAAGGAAGCCAGGAGAAAGUGGGGAAAUGGUCAUUCUAUCAGGUACCAGGGACCUCCAGAGUUCCAGAGCCACUCAGAACCCAGGCCAUCAAGUGGCAGCCAGGGACAUUGGAAGGAAGAGUCUUCCUGAGCCUGGAACUUCUGUCAAGUCUGGUGUGUACCACGGCAGAGCUAUGGCUUGUGGAUGGCUCCUCAACAGCGUGUCAAGGGAACAUGAGGCCAGCAGCUGGAAAGCAGUCCUACAAUUCCAGUCUCUUUGGGGAAGAUCCUGUCAGCCUUCAAUGAUGCAAUGGAAUGCUGAAUGAGAAGUAAUGGCAUGUAGUAUAAAGAGCAUGCACAAGGUUGGAUUUAUUUCUCCUCCCUUUGAAUCACCAUGGCAGCUUUGAUCAACAGAUUUUGGUAGAAAUGAUGCCAACCGGUUCUUGACCUAGACCUUACAAUGACAGGCAGCUUUUGCCUUAGUCUCUUAAAGGUCAGCUGCCCCGUGAGAAGUUCAGCUACCCUGGAACAACCAUGCUGCCCUGUGAGAAGUUCCACUACCCUGGGGUAAGUGCCAACCAUGUGGAAAGGCCCAGAGGAUUGGACACAUGGAGAUGGAGGGGAAGAGAGAAGGAAGAGACCACAAAGAGUACCAAGGCUCCAAAUAUGUGACUGAAGAAGUGCCCUGCAUCUCUACCCACCACAGCUGACACUCUAUGGAUGUAUAGAUCAGAAAGGAGCUGCCUAGCCAAGAGCUUCCUGAAUCCCUGGUCCACAAAACCAAGAUGUAUGACAAAUGGUUAUUUUAGAUUAGUAAGUUUUGGGGUAGUCUGUUAUUCAUUAACAGACAACAGAAAAACCCUGUUGGUUCUCUAUUGUGACUCCAAACUUGAUGGGUUAAAACAGCAGCAAUCAUUUUAUUAUCUCUUGUCAUUCUGGAGGUUGGCUGGGCUUGGCUAGGUGGUUGUCACACAUGGUCUCUCAUGUAGCUGUGGUUGGAAGGUGACUGACUACUGAAGUCAUCAUAAAGACUUCCUCAGUCUCAUGACUGUUGGCUGAUGUUGCCUUUUAGUUGGGGCCUCAGCUGGGGCUGUAGCUGGAAUACCUAUGCAAGGCUUCCCCAUGUGACUCAGGCUUCUCACAGCAUGGUGGCUCAGUUUCUAGCACAAUCGGCCCUAAUGAGCAGGCAGAAGGCCAUGGCAGUUUAAAAACUCGUCUUGGAAGUCACGGAACAUCAUUUCCAUUGUACUAUGCUGGUCAGGGGUGCCACAAAGGUCCACCCAGAUUCAAGAAUAAGGGCUAUCAGCACCACUGUAACCUAACAAGGAGGAAUGUCAAUCUCACACUGCAAGAAGAACUUGUGGGGUGGAAGACAUUGUGGUAACCCACGUUGGAAAACCUGUCACACACACUUGCUGAAACUUCUUUACUCCCUGUGUCCUCAGCAUGGGGCAGGAACUCAAGAGAGGAAGAAAAGAAUCAGUGCUCAAGUUCCGAGUAUCAAAAUCAACUUGUAAGCCCAUGGCAGAGAGACUAACCUGAGGAAAACUUUAUGAGCCUUAUUUUCAAGUAUCAACAGCUUAAGAUCUUUAAAAGACUCAGAACCUACAGUUCGUGCCAUAAGCCACAGACUACAUGACUGGUUAGAGAUGUUGGAUUAGAAGCUGGUGAGUGUCCUUGAAGAGGGACUCUGCCCCAGCCAUGCCCCAAGUUGACAUGGGAAUUUGAGAGUAUAGGGAACCUGUGUUCCACUUUAUAUCUGGAACCCUGAAGGAUGCCAAAGCCACACAGAAGGUCCCUAGUCACCUUGGCACAGGAACAGCGGGGUGCAGAUGCAGGUAAAGUGUUUAGGCCAACAACAGUUUUUCUGCAGAGCUAGCAAAUAUUUUUGGAGAGAAAGAACAAACCUGACCCCAUGUGGUAGUGACAAACAUCAACAGAAAAGAACAGGCCUCUGCAGACUGUGCCCAUUUUCCUUGGGGAAGGUUGCCAUGGAAGCAACUCAAAAAUAAAAAAUAAAAAAUAAAUACGAUCUCCAUUCAGGUUUCCAGAAGUACCUUGUAAAAAUGUGAGCCUAUGGUGUGGUAUCUAUAUUCAUCGCUGCAUUCUCUCACUUACUGAAUAAGCAGGUCAGAGGCAUGUGUAGAAAUUAGG